GACGAACGCUGGCGGCGUGCUUAACACAUGCAAGUCGAACGGAAAGGCCCUGCUUUUGUGGGGUGCUCGAGUGGCGAACGGGUGAGUAACACGUGAGUAACCUGCCCUUGACUUUGGGAUAACCUCAGGAAACUGGGGCUAAUACCGGAUAGGAGCUCCAGCUGCAUGGUGGGGGUUGGAAAGUUUCGGCGGUUGGGGAUGGACUCGCGGCUUAUCAGCUUGUUGGUGGGGUAGUGGCUUACCAAGGCUUUGACGGGUAGCCGGCCUGAGAGGGUGACCGGCCACAUUGGAACUGGGAUACGGCCCGGACUCCUACGGGAGGAAGCGGUGGGGAAUAUUGCACAAUGGGCGGAAGCCUGAUGCAGCAACGCCGCGUGCGGGAUGACGGCCUUCGGGUUGUAAACCGCUUUCGCCUGUGACGAGGCGUGAGUGACGGUAAUGGGUAAAGAAGCACCGGCUAACUACGU
rnacentral:rRNA from 1 species